rnacentral:rRNA from 1 species
CCUACGGGAGGCAGCAGUGAGGAAUAUUGGUCAAUGGACGAGAGUCUGAACCAGCCAAGUCGCGUGAAGGAUGAAUGCUCUAUGGGUUGUAAACUUCUUUUAUAUGGGAAUAAAAUUUUCCACGUGUGGGAAUUUGUAUGUACCAUAUGAAUAAGGAUCGGCUAACUCCGUGCCAGCAGCCGCGGUAAUACGGAGGAUCCGAGCGUUAUCCGGAUUUAUUGGGUUUAAAGGGUGCGUAGGUGGUUUGUUAAGUCAGUUGUGAAAGUUUGCGGCUCAACCGUAAAAUUGCAGUUGAAACUGGAAGUCUUGAGUGUAUGAGAGGUAGGCGGAAUUCGUGGUGUAGCGGUGAAAUGCUUAGAUAUCACGCAGAACUCCGAUUGCGAAGGCAGUUCACUGGACUGCAACUGACACUGAGGCUCGAAAGUGUGGGUAUCAAACAGGAUUAGAUACCCUGGUAGUC